rnacentral:rRNA from 1 species
GACGAACGCUGGCGGCGUGCUUAACACAUGCAAGUCGAACGGUGAAGCGCCUUCCUUUUUGGUGGGUGUGGAUGAGUGGCGAACGGGUGAGUAACACGUGAGUAACCUGCCCCUUCUUCUGGAUAACCGCAUGAAAGUGUGGCUAAUACGGGAUAUUCUGGGUCUGUCGCAUGAUGGGUCUGGGAAAGAUAUUGUUUCGGUGGGGGAUGGGCUCGCGGCCUAUCAGCUUGUUGGUGGGGUGAUGGCCUACCAAGGCGGUGACGGGUAGCCGGCCUGAGAGGGUGGACGGUCCCACUGGGACUGCGCCACGGACCAGACUCCUACGGGAGGCAGCAGUGGGGAAUAUUGCACAAUGGGCGCAAGCCUGAUGCAGCGACGCCGCGUGAGGGAUGGAGGCCUUCGGGUUGUGAACCUCUUUCGCCAGUGAAGCAGGCCUGCCUCGUUUGUGGGUGGGUUGACGGUAGCUGGAUAAGAAGCGCCGGCUAACUACGUG